rnacentral:rRNA from 1 species
GACGUAGGGCGCGAGCGUUGUCCGGAUUUAUUGGGCGUAAAGAGCUCGUAGGCGGCUUGUUGCGUCGACCGUGAAAACCCGGGGCUCAACUUCGGGCUUGCGGUCGAUACGGGCGGGCUAGAGUUCGGUAGGGGAGACUGGAAUUCCUGGUGUAGCGGUGAAAUGCGCAGAUAUCAGGAGGAACACCAAUUGCGAAGGCAGCUCGCUGGGACGUAACUGACGCUGAGACGCGAAAGCGUGGGGAGCAAACAGG